CCAACAGGGAUUGCCUCAGUAACGGCGAGUGAAGCGGCAACAGCUCAAAUUUGAAAUCUGGCCCCCCGGCCCGAGUUGUAAUUUGCAGAGGAUGCUUCUGGCGCGGUGCCUUCCAAGUCCCCUGGAACGGGGCGCCAUAGAGGGUGAGAGCCCCGUCGGGUCGGCCGCCAAGCCUGUGUGAAGCUCCUUCGACGAGUCGAGUAGUUUGGGAAUGCUGCUCUAAAUGGGAGGUAGACCCCUUCUAAAGCUAAAUACCGGCCAGAGACCGAUAGCGCACAAGUAGAGUGAUCGAAAGAUGAAAAGCACUUUGAAAAGAGGGUUAAACAGUACGUGAAAUUGUUGAAAGGGAAGCGCUUGUGACCAGACGUGCACCGGGUGUUCAGCGGGCGUUCUCGCCCGUGCAUUCGCCCCGGUGCAGGCCAGCGUCGGUUCGGGCGGGGGGACAAAGGCGCCAGGAACGUAGCUCCCCCGGGAGUGUUAUAGCCUGGCGCGUCAUGCCCCCGCCUGGACCGAGGUUCGCGCUCCGCAAGGACGCUGGCGUAAUGGUCCCCAGCGGCCCGUCUUGAAACACGGACCAAGGAGUCGAGGUUUUACGCGAGUGUCUGGGUGUCAAACCCGCACGCGUAAUGAAAGUGAACGCAGGUGGGAGCUUCGGCGCACCACCGACCGAUCCUGAUGUUCUCGGAUGGAUUUGAGUAGGAGCGUAGGGCCUCGGACCCGAAAGAUGGUGAACUAUACUUGGAUAGGGUGAAGCCAGAGGAAACUCUGGUGGAGGCUCGCAGCGGUUCUGACGUGCAAAUCGAUCGUCAAAUCUGAGUAUGGGGGGCGAAAGACUAAUCGAACCAU
rnacentral:rRNA from 1 species